AUAAAGGUAACACAGAAAACGUUAAAAAAACGCCCCUUUGGCCAUAAUUUAAAAUCUGAAACCUUUCAGAUUUUUUGUUCUGCAUCCGCAGAAAGUUUGUAGCUUUGAGAUCCAGAUUAAAGCUGUUGUACUGUACUUUUAAAUGACUUAGUUUGUUAAUCAACAACAGAUAAGUUAAAUGUGAAAUUAAAAACUAAGUAUCUUGCACUUUGUUUGCAGUGCAAUAUGAAAUGCAGCUUAUUUCGUAAUGUGGCAACACAUUUAUUUCAAAUCGUCGAGUUUGUUGCUUAAAUUUCAAAGACGAAUAAAUACCUUGCACUUUGCUAAAUGGCGACACACUGCUUUGUAAUUCGCUGAAUUUGUUAAUCGAACUUUCAUUAAGUUCGCUCAAAAUGUAUUAUAAACAAAAAAUACAUUGGAAAUUCAAAAUUAGAUUUCGAAGUAUAGAAUGACUUGCUUUGGUGGAGGACUACAUGUGUUCAAAACAUUGUUGCUCUAAAGGUUGCGCUGUUUUUUGCAAUGUGAGAAGUAUAGAUACAUACAUAUCAAUUCAUCAUUAUUUAAAAGAGAAACAAACAAUAACUAUAUUUUUGUCAAAUAAUUUUGUAGCAUUUUUAUUAGUUUCUUGGUUACUUAAAAAUUUCAUCAACUGCAUUUUAAACCAAUAAAAAUAUAUUGUAAGAUCGCAUGAAAAUAUUUUAUUUAACCACCACUAUGUUUUAAAAAGGGUUAAUUUCCCACUGCUUUUAAAUUCAUAACCACCUGUUCUUGUGUAUGUGAUUUUAUUGUUUAUGUGAAAUGGUUUGAGGGCAAAGACAUAUUAUAUUUUAGUAUUUAUACUCUGCGUAGUAUAGUACGAUUGUUGUUAUUGUGAGUAACCUCACUUGUUUGAUACCGAGCAAGACCACGAAAUUCAUCCUUUCAAGAUGGCAACCCAAUUUUGAAGGAUAGCACCCUGGGACAACAGGUCCAACAGUCUUCCCUGCAACCAACCUCUCCAGAGGGCUUUUGGCUCAUCCUAUAAUUAGAGUGCCUCCAUGCCACAUAGAUACUACACAUUUACAAACAUCCAUGCCUUCUCUGGGAUUCGAAGCCAGGCCCUUCGGUACAGGAGUCAGCGUCGUUAAUCAUUAUCCUGGGUGGGCAGCUCUUACAAAGAAUCACAUGCUGAAAACUCUAGCAAGCAUCUUCUGCUCUGUUAAAGUAUGGAAAACCCGUACAUCAUGAUAGUCUAACAUAGUCAAUUUGUUUUUAUCCAUCUGCUUCAGCCAAGGCCCCUCCUUAUCAAAAGUAACAAAAUAAUUUGAAGAAAACACUCUUUAAUUUGAGGGGGGACAAGCAUUCUGGAUGAUGCAGUGCUGUUAUGUAUGUAUAUAUGAUUACUUAGUUUGAAAACAUUUUAUGUAAACUUUGUUUACUAAUAAUAUAUUUCCCUAGUUUGUGGAGGUAUUUGUAUUAGAAUGGCUUGUUUAUCAUCUUUCCUCCAUAUAUCAAAAUGUUCAUAUUUAAAGUAGUUUUGUUUAUUUGGUUUUUAGAAACAUAUUGUGAGUACAAACUAGAUAUUUCCUUACCAACUUUGUUAGUUUAUAGAAUUCCAUUUUUUGUUCUUUGGAACAUAUAUACUACACAUUGAAAAACAAACCUAAAUUUUAAUAUUGAAUUAUCAGAAACACUUCAAAAUAUGCUUUUAUAAAUGGUAAACCUACUUUUAGAAUUAUGAAAUAUCUCUUAAACUAACUAAAAAAUAUCAGACUUAAACAUCAGUUGGAUAAACUAUCCUAAAUAGUAUCAGAAAAUUCUAUGCAAAAGUAUCAAUAACAAAUCAAUCCCAAGUAAGAUGCAUUUAUUCAUAAACAUAACAAUUAAAAGAAAUACUGGUGAAAAGUUGCAUACCAAAACUUUAUUACAUCAAAUUUAAUCUGAAUAACAGUAUAACUAAGAUCAUGAACAUAAAUUACACAGAAAAUAAAGAAUGAAAUAAAACAGCUGAGAGAAUAUUAUGAUUGAAAAUCUAGCUAAUAUAAAUAAUAAUUAUGAUGCUAACUGUCCCCAGCUCCAUAUUAAUUCUUAGGUGCUAGAAUUUAUUUAUGUUGCCUUUAUUUAUCAAAUAAUUUAAAUAUUCAUAUAAUUUUUUGGCAACAAUUAUCUACAUUUGUGAUCCAAUGGUAACUUGAUACACAUAACAGUUUGUGAAAAAGUAUUUUUAAAAUGUACAGUGUGUGUGGGGGGCAACUCUCUAUUCAUACAAAUUAAACACAAACAUAAAUCACAUAAAAUACUACACAAACUUUUCUAUUCCAUCACUAUACUCAUAACUUCAAUCUAAUCAUAAGAAGAGAAAAUAUAUUACUAAGACAAGGAAAUACAUUAUAAGAGCAAAAAUAUAAGAACAAACUCCAUCACCAAAAAUUCUGUGAAUUAGCAAUUAUAAAUAAAGGCAUUAAAAUAAUGAAAAUUCAUUAAGAAUAUUAUAUAAUUCAUCAACUAUAGAAAAUACAAAUGCAUAGCCUACUCAGAUUAUAUCUAACAUGAUCUGUAUCAGAAUCACUUAAAUAUACAUCAUUACUUACGCAGUUCAUGAAGCACAGCAUUUUGCCACGUAAAAACAAAAUUGCACGUUUGUACAUCAUUGGCUCAAACCAUGUAAUGGAUAUUCACAAAUAAUUUCAUAACUGGCAUACAUAUUCCAAGGGCCAGCAAUUUUACAUGGACUUGGAAGAACCAUUUAAGCUAUGUAAAUUGCUGCUAAACUUGGCAACAUCAGCAAUGAAUUUACAUUUCAGUUCUCCUAUUUUAAAAUUACAAACCUCCAUCAUCGACUGCCAUUGACUCAACUCAGUAUGUCAAUGAAGUAUUUGCAUAGUUCCCAAAAUAACUAAUCUUGCAUACCAUUCCUUCGAAUCCUUUCAACAAUACAAGCAACAUUUAAUACUUCUUUCAGAAAUAUGUUCAGUUUAAAAGAAAACACCAGAGGAAAGAAAGGUUAUCACGUGUCAUUUAAAUAUUCCAUUUACAAUGAAUUGAUGCAAUAUCUUUCAUGUACCACAGGCUGAAGACAUAUAAAAUUGCAUCUGAUGAUGCUUACAUUAAUGUAAAAAACAAGUAUGAAACAUUUAGGCAAUAAAAGAUUAAUGCAGACCCAUAUUAUUUAAGCAGUCUUGUUAGAUAGUACUAAUUACUCUAAAAUCCAUGGACAUAACAGAAUCUUAUAUUAAAAACUAUAAGCAUGCAAAGAAAAAUUUUGAGAGUUCUUAUACACAGUACAUCAUACAAUAGAAGUACGGUACCGUAAUAUAUUCUUUUUAGAAGGAAGAAUGUAAUAUUAAGCUUUAAUAAAAGCUCAUAUUUCAUGUUAAACGAGAAACAUAAAAAUAAUGAAGUAAAUGCAAUAAAAAUUGUAACAACCACACAGAUAUCAAACAUUUCUCCCACUGAUAUAUUUCCUUGGCAUUUUAGAAAUUUUUGUAUCUGUGAAAAUCAACAGGUUUUCGCUGAAUCACUUAACUCAGUUUUCAUUAACAUCUGAAGCUUAGCUUCAUGGUUUUAAGCUAACAUUAUUAGGAAUGAGUAUUAACUAAAGACUGAUUUUGACAGUGUCCCACACAGUUUAUAAAAACAAAAUACAUGCAAUUCAUUAAUAUUGCAUACAGCUUUUAGCUGCUACUUUCAAGAGCAGACAUUUUGUAAAGAGGUACAAGUAAGCAGUACAUAAUAGGAAUAAAAGCUAAUUCUGUUAAUGUGUUAGGAAAAAGAAAAAAAAAGGAUUUGCUUAAUUGAAUUUGUAGUAUUCAUGGGCAAGGGAACAAAUGUAGCAAUUUCCGCUCCCCACGGGAACUGAGCAAAAAAUUGUUUUUGUAUCAAUGUAAUACUGCAUUGUGAUCUGCUUAAAGAGGUUAUCACAUCUAGCGAUGGUCCCUGCUAGACGGGACUUUUCUGAAAAAUGAGAUUCUGGUAGCACUGGUUUAAACGGGAGGAUUCCUAGAAAAAACAGCUGCGCUGGAAGUGAAGUCCGGGCUACGCAGGAUUUUUUUAAACCUGGCCGUAAAUGUUUCAGCUGCAGCUCUGUCCGGUGUAGAUCAAGACCAAUCAGACAAAUGUUCUACUUCUGAAGGUUCACAUGAUUCCAAUCUGAGCGAUAAUCGAUUACUGUUUGGCAUUCAAAUCUUUGUACUAAGUGAAAAUGGUAACCUAGCUACGUGGGUUUCCUGGAAAUGUGCAGGUCUGAGAAUUGUCCCUUUCAAUGUCCAGAACAGCCGAAACAUAAUAUGAUAGGGGUUUUAGAACCUACGAAAUUGAAUAAUGUUGUAAACAUUUAUGUGAUUAGUUACCUUUGUAAAAUUGUUUUGCAGACACCCAUGUUUCCUUUUGCUUUCGUUAUUUACUUUCAAUAUCUUCUAGGGGAUAUAUUUAUCAAAAUAAUUAUAAAUUGGUUUAUGGUACAAUUAAACUUAAGUGUAAAAACAAGGAGAUGAUUUUAUUCAGAGAUUAUUUUUUUUAUAUAAAAUGCUAAAGCUAUACAUUUAAAAACAAAACACACACACAUACACUUUUGUACAAGAAUUGCAGUUUUCCACAGGUACAAGUAAGCAGUUAUUUAAAGUCUCAGCCAGAAAUGACAAAAAAAUGCAGUGUGCACACACAAAAAAAGAUCCUUCUGGGGUUGGGGGGGAUAUCCUUUUAAAAGCAUAGAACAUUUCAUUGUACUUGCAAUUCCUCUAUUUAGUACAAUUUUUUUUUUAAUAAGUUUCUUUCUUUACCAAAAGUUGCCUGAAGACAAAGAGUAAUGCAGAUGCUGCUACAUACAAAAAAUAUUAUGCUGAAAACUGUAUCAUUCAUGAUAUUUAACAGUGAUUCAGGAGCAGCUAUUUUACUAAUAAUUGCCCGAAAACAAAUGAUAAAAGACAGACUGGUUCAAAAUUACAAUAUGCAUUUUACAGAUUCCUCAUGUAUAAAAAAAGUCUUCUUUUCAGAAUACAAAUAUACACUUUGUUAUUACAAACUACAUGAAUUAGUGCUGUCCUGA